CUACGGGUCGCAGCAGUGAGGAAUAUUGCGCAAUGGGGGAAACCCUGACGCAGCGACGCCGCGUGAGUGAGGAAGGCCUUCGGGUCGUAAAGCUCUGUCAGAGGGGAAGAAAUGUCAUAGGGUUAAUACCCUUAUGAUUUGACGGUACCUUCAAAGGAAGCACCGGCUAACUCCGUGCCAGCAGCCGCGGUAAUACGGAGGGGGCGAGCGUGGUUCGGAAUCACUGGGCGUAAAGGGCGCGCAGGCGGUUUUAUAAGUCAGAUGUGAAAGCCCACGGCUCAACCGUGGACGUGCAUUUGAAACUGUGAGACUUGAGUACCAGAGGGGGUAGUGGAAUUCCCGGUGUAGAGGUGAAAUUCGUAGAUAUCGGGAGGAAUACCGGUGGCGAAGGCGACUACCUGGCUGGAUACUGACGCUGAGGCGCGAAAGCGUGGGGAGCAAACAGGAUUAGAUACCCGUGUAGUC
rnacentral:rRNA from 1 species